rnacentral:rRNA from 1 species
CAGUCGAGGGGCAGCGCGGCGCAGCAAUGCGCUGGCGGCGACCGGCGUACGGGUGCGUAACGCGUAUGCAACCUGCCCCGCACCGGGGGAUAGCCCGCCGAAAGGCGGAUUAAUCCCCCAUGGCCCCGGGUGCCCGCAUGGGAAUCCGGGUAAAGCUCCGGUGGUGCGGGAUGGGCAUGCGUGCCAUUAGUUGGCUGGUGGGGUAACGGCCCACCAGGGCGACGAUGGCUAGGGGGUCUGAGAGGAUGGUCCCCCACACUGGUACUGAGACACGGACCAGACUCCUACGGGAGGCAGCAGUGAGGGAUAUUGGUCAAUGGGCGGAAGCCUGAACCAGCCAUGCCGCGUGCGGGAGGAAGGCCCUACGGGUUGUAAACCGCUUUUCCCCGGGAAGAAUAAGCCCCCUGCGGGGGGCGAUGCCGGUACCGGGGGAAUAAGGAUCGGCUAACUCCGUGCCAGCAGCCGCGGUAAUACGGAGGAUCCGAGCGUUAUCCGGAUUUACUGGGUUUAAAGGGUGCGUAGGCGGCCCGCCGAGUCAGCGGUGAAAUGUGGCGGCUCAACCGUUUCGCCGCCGCUGAUACUGGUGGGCUUGGAUUCGGUCGAGGCGGGUGGAAUUCGUGGUGUAGCGGUGAAAUGCAUAGAUAUCACGAGGAACGCCGGUAGCGAAGGCAGCUCGCCGGGCCGCGAUCG